UACAGAGGUCUCAAGCGUUGUUCGGAUUCAUUGGGCGUAAAGGGUGCGUAGGUGGCGAGGUAAGUUGGAUGUGAAAUCCCGGGGCUCAACCCCGGAACUGCAUUCAAUACUGCCUUGCUAGAGUACUGGAGAGGAGAUUGGAAUUUACGGUGUAGCAGUGAAAUGCGUAGAUAUCGUAAGGAAGACCAGUGGCGAAGGCGGAUCUCUGGACAGUUACUGACACUGAGGCACGAAGGCCAGGGGAGCAAACCGGG
rnacentral:rRNA from 1 species